GGGUCAGUAGGUUGGUCAUGCCUCUGGUAUGCACUGGUCUCACUGAUUCCUCCUUCCUGAUGAACCGUAAUGCCAUUAAUUUGGUGUUGCGGGGAACUUGGACUGUUACUUUGAAUAAAUUAGAGUGUUUAAAGCAAGCUAACGCUUGAAUACAUUAGCAUGGAAUAAUGAAAUAGGACGUCCGAUCCUAUUUUGUUGAUUUCUAGGAUUGACGUA
rnacentral:rRNA from 1 species